rnacentral:lncRNA from 1 species
CCUAAUUCAACCACAGGAGUCCCCAAUUUCUGUCCGUUGAUUGAGUGUAAGUAUGUGCCUCUGUCUCAGUUAGCUGCAUGUUGGGACUCUGAGGAUGGUCAUGCUAGGCUCCUGUCUGUAAGCACACCAUUAUAGCAUCAGUAAUAAUGUCAGGCCUUGGAGCCUUCCCUUGAGAUGGAUCCUAAGUUGAACCUGUCACUGAACCUCCUUUCCCUCAGUCUCCAUUUUUUCCCCCUGCAGUUCUUUUAUACAGGAACAAUUCUGGGUCAGAGUUUUCUGACUAUGGGAUGGCAACCCCAUUCCUCCACUUGAUGCCCUGUCUACCUACUGGAGGUGGACUCUAAUAUUUGAGAGUCUCUCACCUCCCAGGUCUCUGGCAUAUUCUAGAGGGUCCUUCCUCCCACCUCCCACCUCUUGAGGUUGCAUAUUUCCAUUCUUUCUGCUGACCCUCAGGGCUUCUCUCCUGUUCCUGCCCUCCCAAUACCUGAUCAUAUUCCCCCUUUUCCUUCCCUUCUCCUCUUCCAUCCAGGUCCCUCUCCCCUCUGCCUCCCAUAAUUGCUUUCUUCUCCCUCCCAAGUGGGAUUGAAGCAUCCUCACUUGGGCCCUUCGGCUUGCUAACCUUCUUGAGUUCUGUGGAUUGUAUUCCUUGACAUUUUAACAACUAAAACUGGCUCCUUUGACAUCAACUCCAGACUCAUGAUGUACCUUUUAUUUGUUCUUUACAGAUUUGUGGUGUGGACAUCUCUGUAUGGCCUGCUGAUCAACUUCCAGCACCUGAGGACUAAUGUCUUCCUAUUGCAGUGUCUUUUUGGUACAAUCACCAUUCCAGCCAAUUUAGUUGGAAUUUUUUUUUUUUUUUUUUUUUUUGGUGAAUCACUUGGGCCGCAGAAUAUGUCAACUAUGCCUGAUUGGAAUUUCCAUUUUGGCCAUAAUUUUUGUGCCUCAAGAGGAAGAGUCUCCAGACAAGCAAAGCAUAAAGAUACUUUCAUCAAAGUGACACAGUUUUAAGGAACUCCAAGAACUGAAAUCUGAUAAGCAGCAAGAUAAGAAAACUAUCACUGAGAUUUAAGAUGGUCCAGGUUCACUCUAGAUAUAGCAAAAUUCUUAAUCAAAUAACAUAGCAAAAAGUUUGUAUUAAAUUUAAAAUUUCCAUACUCAACUGAUACACAAAUUAUCUCAAUAACAAAAUUAAAGGAAAACAUAACACAGUGAAGUAAAUCUUCAGGGAUAUUUUUAUGAUAACAGACAGCUAUGACGUUUCUAGAUAGGAUGUGGAUGAAUCUUCUUCCAAUUAUUGUGACAUAAUGCUAGGGAAAAUUAAAGAUGAAUAAUUUACUGUGGAAUUCUCAUUAGUUUCAUCCCAUGGUUGUUGGGAUAAUUUCUUGUUCACUGUGUAAAGAUUGCCUUCAUAUUAUUCAAAUGCUGAUUUCAGUACUAGCAGAGAUUUGAGUACAGCUGGACUUUGGUAUUUUUUGAAGCAUCUCUCGUUUCAGUAUUCUGUAAACAUUUUCUCUAUUACCUCCUGAUCGGUUUAAUAAAGAGGUGAAUGGCUUGUGCCAGGGCAGGAGAGAAAAAGUGAGACAUUGAUUUGGUAAGACAUAGGAACUCUGGGAAAGAGUUGAUCAUGAAAUUGAUCAGCGAUUAAUAGGAAAUGUUCUUGAAGCCUCAGAAUUUUGUGAAGAAACACCAUGUUAACAGCAAAGGUUUGAAGAAAGAUUUUUCUAUUACUUGGCAGCAAGCCCAGAAAAUUGUAAGGAAGUGUUUUGUUCUUUGUAUAACCUAACUCCAUUACCUGCAGUAAGUAACCCAAAAGAUACCCAAAGAAAGGAAAUUUUACAAAUGGGUGUGUUUUAUUUUGCAGAGUUUGGAAAAAUUAAAAUAUGUGAACUAUUCCAUAGAUACAUAUUCAGGAUUUAAAAGGGCAACUGCUU